GGGACACGUGGUAUCCUGUCUGAAUAUGGGGGGACCAUCCUCCAAGGCUAAAUACUCCUGACUGACCGAUAGUGAACCAGUACCGUGAGGGAAAGGCGAAAAGAACCCCGGCGAGGGGAGUGAAAAAGAACCUGAAACCGUGUACGUACAAGCAGUGGGAGCACGCUUAGGCGUGUGACUGCGUACCUUUUGUAUAAUGGGUCAGCGACUUAUAUUCUGUAGCAAGGUUAACCGAAUAGGGGAGCCGAAGGGAAACCGAGUCUUAACUGGGCGUUAAGUUGCAGGGUAUAGACCCGAAACCCGGUGAUCUAGCCAUGGGCAGGUUGAAGGUUGGGUAACACUAACUGGAGGACCGAACCGACUAAUGUUGAAAAAUUAGCGGAUGACUUGUGGCUGGGGGUGAAAGGCCAAUCAAACCGGGAGAUAGCUGGUUCUCCCCGAAAGCUAUUUAGGUAGCGCCUCGUGAAUUCAUCUCCGGGGGUAGAGCACUGUUUCGGCAAGGGGGUCAUCCCGACUUACCAACCCGAUGCAAACUGCGAAUACCGGAGAAUGUUAUCACGGGAGACACACGGCGGGUGCUAACGUCCGUCGUGAAGAGGGAAACAACCCAGACCGCCAGCUAAGGUCCCAAAGUCAUGGUUAAGUGGGAAACGAUGUGGGAAGGCCCAGACAGCCAGGAUGUUGGCUUAGAAGCAGCCAUCAUUUAAAGAAAGCGUAAUAGCUCACUGGUCGAGUCGGCCUGCGCGGAA
rnacentral:rRNA from 1 species